rnacentral:lncRNA from 1 species
ACUUCAAGAUUUGGAGAUGUUCAGCCCAUGUCAAAUGAUAGCAGACGGACAAGUUAGAGGCUAGAUCCUCUAGGGCUUGCUUUAUAGAAAAUUCUAAGAAAAUCAUGAGAUACUACUUCUAUCUUCUUGAGGAUCAUAAUGGAUUGUGAGCCGUCAUGCCAUUUUCUUGAAAAAAAAAUUUAUCCAAGAUAGAGGCAGC